UUCUGGGUCUGGAUCCCACUCUAAGGAUUCUGGGAACGAUGCUGGAGGUGAAGAGGGUGGUGUCAUCACUGUUGGCUUUGCACCAGAGGCAGAAGUGUGCUAACCUUUAAACCUCUGGUAAGCCACCCUGACUCCAAGAAGGUCCGAUCCAGAGGGAAAUUGCCUACCGAUUCCGAGGAAUCCCUGGCACGCUAAACUCCUGGCAAAUCAGGACCACCUCGCCUUCACCCAGAGAUGACUGGCAGACAGUCGGGGGUGGGGGUGGGGGGGGGCACUCAGAUUAUCCCGAAUAAAGCCAUAUUUGUUUCGGUGAAAAAGCCUCCAAAAGAGGAUGGAGCGCCGACGAGAGGGCGAUGGAUAGCGCUUUGUUUUUGAGUUGAAAACAAAACAAGCCUAAAGACUUUGAGGAAUUGAAAUACUCUACACACACACAUAAAAAGCUGCCCACCUGAGGGUCUUUUUCUGGAUGUAAGGUGUAAGACACAGUGAUACAGUGUUUCUUAGGAGGCUAGGGUGAUUAGUCUAGUGCCCAAUUCUAGUGCCCACUGUAACAAAAGAGAUUAUAGCUGAUUAUUAUUCCAAUAAAUAUGACUUAAAUUCUCUCCUGUGGAGAACAAAAGACCCCAGAUGGUUCCACAUGCACAGACACCAUUUAUCCCACAUUAAUGCAGCAUAUAAUCCUCUAUAUAAAAUAUGCAUAAAAUGCUCACAGCUGUGGAUAAACAACUACUGUCUGAUCCUUUGGUUACCCAGGUGCCAAAGACGUCUGACUUGCCAUACAGAAAUGCUGAACUUUUUUCCAUCCGUUUCAGAAGAAUUCAGCUUACUGUGAACUCGCUCUUAAAAGUGCAAUAUCAGAGUUCAGUGCCGUGCCGAUGAUGCUUUCUCAUAAAGUUGGAUUUCGUUAGUCAAGAAAUAGAAAUGUAUUGAGAAAUGUUUUAUUUGUAAAUAUUUAAUUAGAUAUUGUGGUAUUAAUUUGUGCAGAAUGCCAUGACCCCUUAUAUUCGCUACCUGUGUGCAUAGACUUACACACACACACACACACACACAAAGAAAGGCAUAGAAGCAUUGCUGUUUGCAAUUUUUUGCAGACAUAUUCUUUCAGGGGAUUCUAAGGUUAGAGGUUUGGGCUCUUAAGAGAACAAGUGCAGUCAUUACAGAGCUUUUUCACAAAUGUUUGUGAAAGAUUAAAUUACUGUAACCAUGAACCAUAUCAAUAUACAAACAUACAACUGUAGGAUACCCUCAGAUUUAGCUGUCAUUUCAUGCUUGCACACAUUAUGUCUAAGACAGUGAUUAAACUAGUAUUUUAUUCGGAGAGAAUACACUUCAUCUUAUUGUCAAUAUCACUGUGACUAUAGGCCUAUAUUGACAAUCAAAACUCGAUGAAAGAUUAAAGACUACAAAAAUCGCCAUCAGUGGAAACAUAGGCUAAUGCUCAUGUCAUUAUGAACCUGUUGGGCUAUAACGAUUAGGUUACUUUGAAGACAAAAUGUCGUUUUUUUCUCUUACCGUUAUUCCGCUCUUUCUCUCUACAGCUCUCUUCACUUUCCCAUACGUGCCUUUGCCAAGCGUCUCCAGA